rnacentral:lncRNA from 1 species
CCUGCCCAGGAAGCUGGGACCUCUAAGCCUAAUGAAGAGAUCUCAGGUCCAGCAGAACCAGCUUCACCCCCAGAGACAACCACAACAGCCCAGGAGACUUCGGCGGCAGCAGUUCAGGGGACAGCCAAGGUCACCUCAAGCAGGCAGGAACUAAACCCCCUGAAACAAGCCCUUGCAAAAGCAGGAAAAGGAAUGCACGGAGGCGUGCCAGGUGGAAAACAAUUCAUCGAAAGUGAGUGCAUCCCAAGAUGGAAGUGAAUUUGCACAAAAAUUACUGAAGAAAUUCAGUCUAUUAAAACCAUGGGCAUGAGAAGCUGAAAAGAAUGGGAUCAUUGGACUUAAAGCCUUAAAUACCCUUGUAGCCCAGAGCUAUUAAAACGAAAGCAUCCAA